AAUGUUGAAUGAUCGAUGAUUUACAUCAAACAUAAAUGUUAGUGUCAGGAGAAUCACAGCAAGGAAUCACAGGACUGGUAUGACAUCAGAUGUUGAAGAGCUUUGGGGUGCAGAGAUGUGCUCAAACUUAACUCGCAUAACAGGCAGAGGACUGAGGAUGCUCUCAGCAGCGGCAGGGGACACCUUCCAAGGAGCCUGAGCUACACUCCCUGUCCCUCAGAAUGCUGUACUCUGUACACAGCAGCUCUCAUAAUGAGAGACUAUAUCUUACCACUUAAAGAAAAGGAAAAAGAAAAAGAAAACCUCUUAAUUGAAGUAUAACACACACAGAAAAGUGCAG